GUGUUGGUCGUCCAAUGGUCAGGACGCGCGGUUGUGGACCGCGAAACGGCGGGUUCAACUCCCCCCCUUCACCCCA
rnacentral:tRNA from 1 species